rnacentral:rRNA from 1 species
UACAGAGGGUGCUAGCGUUGUUCGGAAUCAUUGGGCGUAAAGGGCGUGUAGGCGGUUUGUUAAGUCAUGUGUGAAAUCCCUCGGCUCAACCGGGGAACGACGCAUGAAACUGGCAAGCUAGAGUACCAAAGAGGGGGGUGGAAUUCCCGGUGUAGCGGUGAAAUGCGUAGAUAUCAGGAAGAACACCGAUGGCGAAGGCAGCUCUCUGGGACGGUACUGACGCUGAGACGCGAAAGCGUGGGGAGCGAACAGG